GACGAACGCUGGCGGCGUGCUUAACACAUGCCAGUCGAACGAUAAAGCGGGUCUUUUGACUCGUGCUCGAGUGGCGAACGGGCGAGUAACACGUGAGUAACCUGUCCUUUUCUUUGGGAUAACUUCUGGAAACGGGUGCUAAUACUGGAUAUUCAGUCUUGAUGCAUUGUGGGGGUUGGGAAGUGUCGUCUGUGGGGGUUGGUGGGGCUGCGGCUCAGCAGGUUGGUGGGGGGGUGAUUGCUUACCAAGUCUUUGACGGGUAGCCGGACGGGGAGGGUGGGCGGGCGCGCUGGGACUGAGAUACGGACCAGACUACUGCGGGAGGUAGCAGUGGAGAAUAUUGCACAAUGGACGGAAGUUUGAUGCAGCGACGGAGCGUGGAGGGUGUAGGCCUUGGUGUUGUGAACUCCUUUGUCUCGCGAAAAAGGCACAGUCUUGGCUGUGUUGAUGGUAGUGGGGAAAGAAGCGCCGGCUAACUACGUG
rnacentral:rRNA from 1 species